GUGCUCAUUUCAGCAGCAGAUAAUCUAAAAUUGCAAUGACACAGAGGUUAGCAUGGUCUUUGUGCAAGGAUGCUACAAAAUUUUACAGUGUUCCAUAUCUUG
rnacentral:snRNA from 1 species